ACCCAUGGUUAUCAGUCCUAUUGUGGCAGCGGUUCUGCGUCAGACCAUGUCGGCCACCACAAGGGUUCUCCUGCUGAUGACUGCUGCUACCAUGGGGGUUCUGCUUUGGAUGACAGCAGCCGCCACAGGGUUUCUGCGUCAAAUCAUGUCCACCACCACAAGGAUUCUCCAGCCGAUGACUGCUGCUACCACAGGCGUUCUGCCUCAGACGACAUCAGCGUCCUUAAACAUCAAGCGCGACAAGACCACUAGGUCCAAUCCUUCUUAUCUCCUUUUCUACAGAAAACAAAGUAAGAAGGCCAACACAGGGGUUCAGCAUCAGACGACGGGGGUUGUGCGUCAGACAUUGUCGAACGCCACUGGGGUUGUGCUUCAGACGUUCUCAGCCGCCACAGGGGCUUUGUGUCAGACUUUGUCAACCGCUACGGGAAUUGUGCGUCAGACGUCAGGCGCCUUGCGUCAGACGUUGUCCAACGCCACUGGGGCUGUGCGUCAGAUGUUGUCGAAUGCCACUGAGGUUGUGCAUCACACGACAGGGGCCUUGCGUCAGAUGUUGUCGAACGCCACUGAGGUUGUGCAUCAGACGACAGGGGCUUUGCGUCAGAUGUUGUUGAACGCCACUGAGGUUGUGCGUCAGACGACAGGGGCCUUGCGUCAGGCGUUGUCCAACGCCACUGGGGCUUUGUGUCAGACAUUGUCGAACGCCACUGGGGCUGUGCGUCAGACGUUGUCGAACGUCACUGGGGCUGUGCGUCAGAUGCCUUCAGCCGCCACUGGGGCCUUGUGUCAGAUGUUGUCGAACGCCACUGAGGUUGUGCGUCAGACGACAGGGGCCUUGCGUCAGAUGUUGUCGAACGCCACUGAGGUUGUGCGUCAGACGUUGUUGAACGCCACUGGGGCUGUGCGUCAGACGUUGUUGAACGCCACUGAGGUUUUGCGUCAAACGUUGUCAAACGCCACUGAGGUUGUGCGUGAGACGACAGGGGCUUUGCGUCAGAUGUUGUCGAACGCCACUGAGGUUGUGCGUCAGACGACAGGGGCUUUGCGUCAGAUGUUGUCGAAUGCCACUGAGGUUGUGCGUCAGACGUUGUUGAACGCCACUGAGGUUGUGCGUCAGACGUUGUCCAACGCCACUGGGGCUGUGCGUCAGACGUUGUUGAACGCCACUGAGGUUGUGCGUCAGACGUUGUCGAACGCCACUGAGGCUGUGCGUCAGAUGCCUUCAGCCGCCACUGGGGCUGUGCGUCAGACGUUUUCGAACGCCACUGAGGUUGUGCGUCAGAUGUUGUCGAACGCCACUGGGGCUGUGCGUCAGUUGUUUUCGAACGCCACUGAGGUUGUGCGUCAGACGUUGUCGAACGCCACUGGGGCUGUGCGUCAGAUGUUGUCGAGCGCCACUGGGGUUGUGCUUCAGACGUUCUCAGCCGCCACGGGGGCUUUGUGUCAGACUUUGUCAACCGCCACGAGAAUUGUGCGUCAGACGACAGGCGCCUUGCGUCAGACGUUGUCCAACGCCACUGGGGCUGUGCGUCAGAUGUUGUCGAAUGCCACUGAGGUUGUGCAUGAGACGACAGGGGCCUUGCGUCAGAUGUUGUCGAACGCCACUGAGGUUGUGCGUCAGACGACAGGGGCUGUGCGUCAGACGUUGUCGAACGUCACUGGGGCUGUGCGUCAGAUGCCUUCAGCCGCCACUGGGGCCUUGUGUCAGAUGUUGUCGAACGCCACUGAGGUUGUGCGUCAGACGACAGGGGCCUUGCGUCAGAUGUUGUCGAACGCCACUGAGGUUGUGCGUCAGACGUUGUUGAACGCCACUGGGGCUGUGCGUCAGACGUUGUUGAACGCCACUGAGGUUUUGCGUCAAACGUUGUCAAACGCCACUGAGGUUGUGCGUGAGACGACAGGGGCUUUGCGUCAGAUGUUGUCGAACGCCACUGAGGUUGUGCGUCAGACGACAGGGGCUUUGCGUCAGAUGUUGUCGAACGCCACUGAGGUUGUGCGUCAGACGUUGUUGAACGCCACUGAGGUUGUGCGUCAGACGUUGUCCAACGCCACUGGGGCUGUGCGUCAGACGUUGUUGAACGCCACUGAGGUUGUGCGUCAGACGUUGUCGAACGCCACUGAGGCUGUGCGUCAGAUGCCUUCAGCCGCCACUGGGGCUGUGCGUCAGACGUUUUCGAACGCCACUGAGGUUGUGCGUCAGACGACAGGGGCUUUGCGUCAGAUGUUGUCGAACGCCACUGAGGUUGUGCGUCAGACGUUGUUGAACGCCACUGAGGUUGUGCGUCAGACGUUGUCCAACGCCACUGGGGCUGUGCGUCAGACGUUGUUGAACGCCACUGAGGUUGUGCGUCAGAUGUUGUCGAACGCCACUGGGGCUGUGCGUGAGUUGUUUUCGAACGCCACUGAGGUUGUGCGUCAGACGUUGUCGAACGCCACUGGGGCUGUGCGUCAGAUGUUGUCGAGCGCCACUGGGGUUGUGCUUCAGACGUUCUCAGCCGCCACGGGGGCUUUGUGUCAGACUUUGUCAACCGCCACGAGAAUUGUGCGUCAGACGACAGGCGCCUUGCGUCAGACGUUGUCCAACGCCACUGGGGCUGUGCGUCAGAUGUUGUCGAAUGCCACUGAGGUUGUGCAUCAGACGACAGGGGCCUUGCGUCAGAUGUUGUCGAACGCCACUGAGGUUGUGCGUCAGACGACAGGGGCUUUGCGUCAGAUGUUGUCGAACGCCACUGGGGCUGUGCGUCAGAUGCCUUCAGCCGCCACUGGGGCCUUGCGACAGACGUUGUCGAACGCCACUGGGGCUGUGCGUCAGACGUUGUUGAACGCCACUGAGGUUGUGCAUCAGACGACAGGGGCUUUGCGUCAGAUGUUGUUGAACGCCACUGAGGCUGUGCGUCAGACGACAGGGGCCUUGCGUCAGGCGUUGUCCAACGCCACUGGGGCUUUGUGUCAGACAUUGUCGAACGCCACUGGGGCUGUGCGUCAGAUGUUGUCGAACGCCACUGAGGUUGUGCGUCAGACGAUAGGGGUUUUGCGUCAGUGGUUGUCAAACGCCACUGAGGUUGUGCGUCAGACGACAGGGGCCUUGCGUCAGAUGUUGUCGAACGCCACUGAGGUUGUGCGUCAGACGUUGUCGAACGCCACUGGGGCUGUGCGUCAGACGUUGUCGAACGCCACUGGGGCUGUGCGUCAGAUGUUGUCGAACGCCACUGGGGCUGUGCGUCAGACGUUUUCGAACGCCACUGAGGUUGUGCGUCAGACGUUGUCGAACGCCACUGAGGUUUUGCGUCAGACGUUGUCAAACGCCACUGAGGUAUUGCGUCAGACGACAGGGGCUUUGCGUCAGAUGUUGUCAAACGCCACUGAGGUUGUGCGUCAGACGUUGUUGAACGCCACUGAGGUUGUGCGUCAGACGUUGUCCAACGCCACUGGGGCUGUGCGUCAGACGUUGUCGAACGUCACUGAGGUUGUGCGUCAGACGACAGGGGCCUUGCGUCAGACGUUGUCGAACGCCACUGAGGCUGUGCGUCAGAUGCCUUCAGCCGCCACUGGGGCUGUGCGUCAGACGUUGUCGAACGCCACUGGGGCUGUGCGUCAGAUGUUGUCGAACGCCACUGGGGCUGUGCGUCAGACGUUUUCGAACGCCACUGGGGCUGUGCGUCAGACGUUGUCGAACGCCACUGGGGCUGUGCGUCAGAUGUUGUCGAACGCCACUGGGGCUGUGCGUCAGACGUUUUCGAACGCCACUGGGGCUUUGCGUCAGACGUUGUCGAACGCCACUGGGGCUGUGCGUAAGACGUUGUUGAACGCCACUGGGGCUUUGCGUCAGACGUUGUCGAACGCCACUGGGGCUGUGCGUCAGAUGUUGUCGAACGCCACUGGGGUUGUGCUUCAGACGUUCUCAGCCGCCACGAGGGCUUUGUGUCAGACUUUGUCAACCGCCACGAGAAUUGUGCGUCAGACGACAGGCGCCUUGCGUCAGACGUUGUCCAACGCCACUGGGGCUGUGCGUCAGAUGUUGUCGAAUGCCACUGAGGUUGUGCGUCAGACGACAGGGGCCUUGCGUCAGAUGUUGUCGAAUGCCACUGAGGUUGUGCGUCAGACGACAGGGGCCUUGCGUCAGAUGUUGUCGAACGCCACUGAGGUUGUGCGUCAGACGUUGUUGAAUGCCACUGGGGCUGUGCGUCAGACGUUGUUGAACGCCACUGGGGCUGUGCGUCAGACGUUGUUGAACGCCACUGGGGCUGUGCGUCAGAUGUUGUCGAACGCCACUGAGGUUGUGCGUCAGACGAUAGGGGUUUUGCGUCAGUGGUUGUCAAACGCCACUGAGGUUGUGCGUCAGACGACAGGGGCUUUGCGUCAGAUGUUGUCGAACGCCACUGGGGCCUUGCGUCAGAUGUUGUCGAACGCCACUGGGGCUUUGCGACAGACGUUGUCGAACGCCACUGGGGCUGUGCGCCAGAUGUUGUCGAACGCCACUGAGGUUGUGCGUCAGAUGACAGGGGCCUUGCGUCAAGCGUUGUCCAACGCCACUGGGGCUGUGCGUCAGACGUUGUUGAACGUCAUUGGGGUUGUGGGUCAGACGUUGUCGGCCGUCAUCAGGGCUGUGCAUCAGACGUUGUCGGCCAUCAUCGGGGGUGUGUGUCAGACGUUGUUGAACGUCAUUGGGGGUGUGUGUCAGACGUUGUUGGCCGUGCUUAGUGUGACAGUAACUGUCACAUUUCUGGUUUUGCGUCGCAUAACGCCGUCUGCCUCCGGCAUUCGCAGCCACGAGGGUUCUGACUCAGAUGAUGCUGAAUACCAGUCAUCCCAAAGUCAUAGCAGGCAAAAAAAAAAUCUAAUUAAGACAACCGCCAUGGGGGAUCUACGUCAAACAUCAGCCACUUCAGACGUCGGCUGCCACGGGGGUUCUGCCUCAGAUCCCGGUGGCCACAACGAGGGUUCAUCCUCAUACGACGUUGGCUGUCAUGAGGGUUCUGCCUUAAACGACAAUUGGACAAUUGUUGUUAUAGUUUUUAUCUUCUACAUGUUUUACAUGGAAUUGUGGUUUGAUCAAGUAAUCCCGACUAACAAUUUAAUCCAUUAAAUAAUGGUAUUGGGUAAUACUGAAUACAUUUGUUAAAAAGUACAUUAUUCAGUCUAUGUUUAAACACAGUACUACUUAUUCUCCCAAAACACAGUUAUUAAUGUGAUUUGAAACGGGAAUACAUAGAAGCACAAAUUUAAUUAGUAUUAGGUUUAUUCACCAGCAGUUUUGUUAGUGUUUUAAACUUUAUUAUUAGCUAAAUAUGAGUAAUGAUCAAAAAUAAUAACCCAUAUUCAAGACAGAAAACAAUGUUUGGUCAACUUCUCAUCUCAUCCCAAGAUAAUAGAUAACAGAGACCCUGUCUCCUACAAAAGUGGAGCUGUGACUUAAAGCAACAUCCCACAUAUGGCACCAGGCUUCCAGAUUUAAUAUCAAGGACCAUGGAUACACCUUUGUGUGGCUCACUGGAAUCUCCACCACAAAGAAUACCACAAUCAGCUGAUCACCAACAUGUUACUGAAAAUGUGCAUGUCCAGUAAAUGUUGAUCCAUGUUUGUCUAAUUAUUCUCCCUAAUGAUCCUUGCAAGAACCAAAGUUUUCUCUAGGUGAUUUUAAUCUAUACAUUGAAAAUCAAUCAGACUCUAGAAUUUUUAAAUGUACAGUAAGGUCCAGAGAGUCUCUGCUUUGGCUGCCAGUGUGUUUUAGAAUUGAUUUCAAGAUUAUUUUAUUAGUCUGUGAGCCUCUUAAAUGUUUCAGCUAAUGCUACUUAUCUGAGCUGCUUGUACCCUAUAAUCCUUAUAGAAUAACUGUUAUUAGACCUAUUAUUAUAUCUGUUCUUGUUUAAUAUUUGUAGGUGUAGGGGUAAGGUUUUAUUUGCUCUAACCACCUUACACAUUGCUUUUUUAUUGCAGUUGUGGUGAAUAGUUUAUUGGUGGUUUAUGCCUAUAUUGUAUUGUGUGAAAAGUGCUAUAUAAAUAUAAAUACAUUUUGAUUAAUUAAUUGGUUGGUCGGUAUGGUGGCCCUGAAAUGCAAAUCACAAACCAAAAGA
ensembl:lncRNA